rnacentral:tRNA from 1 species
UCUACUACUCAGUUGGUAGAGUACGGAGCUCUUAACCUUGUGGACGUGGGUUCAAGCCCCAUGGUGGAG